AGUGUUUUUUGUGUACAUGUUAGAUGACAACUCCUCGUGAAUUACGUGAUUGCCUGAAAUUUUUGCCUAAUCUAUAGGAUGCUUUUUAAUUUGGAAAGUAGUUUUCUUUGAUGUGCAGAAACUUUUCAUGUUGACGUAGACCCAUAUAUUUAUUUUUGCAUUUCAUGCAUAUAGUUUUUGUCACCCAUAUAAGAAAAUAUGUAUCAGUGACAAAGCAUUUAAUUGUCAAUGAGGUUUUUCUUCCAGGGUGUUUAUUUUCCUCUUUGCAAAGGUGAGCAGAGAUUCAAGUGACCCAAAAUAUAUGCUCAUCCUGUGUUUUAGUUAAAAACAUUUUGUGGUUUAUGGUCUUUUGUUUUGCCUUCAAUUUGGGAGAGGGGGUGUUCAUUUUCAUACAUCGUGUAAAAUAAGUCCUAUUUCUCGCUUCUGCAUCUGGAUAUCAUUUUUCUCAAAGGUAUUCAUUCUCUGCCUUCCACAUUGCAGUGUUCUUUAUCAAAGUCAGUUGAUUGUGUCCAUAUUUGUGUUGAUCAUGUUCUUGUCCUCCCUGUUUUUGUCCAUAGUUUAUGCAAGUAUCAUAUAUCAGCUGUAUAACUACAACUUGGCAGCGUAAUUCGGUAUUGAGGAUUGUGGGUCUUCACUUUGUAUUUCUUAGGAUUCCUUUAGAUAUUCAUUGCUUUUGUGGUUCCCUGUGAUUUUUAGCAAUACAUAUUUAUUUCUGUUAACUUUUUUUCACAACAUAAAGGUCCAUAAUUAGAGGUACACUUUCAUACAUAUAGAUUGGGUAAUGAUCAAAUCAGGGUACUUAGGAUCUCUAUUUGCUCAUCCAGGCAUUUUUUUUUUUUUUUUUUUUUUUUGUGGGGAGAACAUUCAAAAUUCUCCCUUCUUGCUCUAGAAAAAUAUGAUAUUGUUAACUCCAGUCACCAGGCUGAGGAGGAGAACCUCAGAUUUAUUCCUUUAAUGUUAAGAUAACUUCGUUUCCAUAAUCAAUCCUUCCCCAUUCCCCCUCUAUCUCCCAAACUCUAGUAAGCAAUAUUGUGCUUUCUACUUCAUUAAGAUAAACAUCUUAAGAUUUCACAUGAGUGGUAUCAUGCCGUGUUUGUCUUUCUAGGCCUAGCUCAUUACAUUUAACAUAAUGGUUUCCAGGUUCAUCUGUGUUGCUCUAAAUGACACUGUUUCAUUAUUUUGAUGGCUGAAGAAUAUUUCCUGGUGUUUGUUUAUGAGAGUUUCUUGAUCUCUUUAUCUGUGGAUGAACAGCUACUUUGAAACAUAUGAUACACUUGUGUUAAGGCUAGUCACCCUGCUGUGGAAUAGAAGACCAGAAUUGGUCACUCUCAUCUGAGAGUAACUUUGUACCCCAUCACUGAUUCCUUCUGAGACCACCUUCACUUCCCCAGCAGCCUCUGGUUUCUUCACGUGGCUGCAGAUGGCAGGAUUUCCCAAAGGUUUAUGGCUGAAACAUAUUCCGUGGUGUAUCUGUACAGCAGUUUCCUCAUCCCUGCAGCUGUGUUUGAACAGGUCAUUUACCAUGCUGUCCUCCGGGUUCAACAGUAUGGCUCCAAAUGAUGAAAUUUCAUUUUGAUUUUCUGGCUGAAGACUAUUCUGUUUGUGUGCGUCCCCCACAGUUACUUUAUCCCUUCACAUCUGUGGAUGGGCAGAGUCUCGCUCUGUUGCCCAGGCUGGAGUGCAGUGGCACGAUCUCAGCUCUAUGCAAGCUCUGCUUCCUGGGUUCAUGCUAUUCUCCUGCCUCAGCCUCCUGAGUAGCUGGGAUUACAGGCACCACCACCAUGUCCGGCUAAUUUUCUGUAUUUUUCGUAGAGACGGGGUUUCACCGUGUUAGCCAGGAUGGUCUCGAUCUCCUGACCUCGUGAUCUGCCGGCCUCGGCCUCCCAAAGUGCUGGGAUUACAGGCGAGAGCCACCAUGCCCGACUGUAUACUAAUUAACAUUCUUACCAAACGAGUUCUUCUCUGGAAAUUUCCACCAGCAUUUGUGUCUCUUUUAAUAUAUUUUAUCAGUUUGAUAACAUCCAUUUGAAUUAUAGUGAGAUGAUAUGUGUGUUGUAUUGAUUUAUAUCUUUCUCAUGGUUUGUGAUGUUAUUCAAGUUUUAAAACUUGUUUUCAAUGUUAUGUCUUUUUUGUAGAAAUGUCUAUUCAGGUUUUGUUUGGUUAUUAGUUUCUCUUUUGUGUUUUUGCUAGUAAGUAGUGUUAGUUGCUUAGACAUUUUGAAAACAGCCUUUUAUCAGAUGUAUGUUUGUCAAAACGUUUCUUGUACAAUGAAACAUAGAUGGAAAUGUUCUGUGCAAUAAAAACAGCAGUGGUAACAGAGGAGAUGUAGGCUCUGAGUGUCUCACUGGAGACUGAAGUCCACAGAUAUGCAACAAAGCCUUUGUCUCCCUGAUGUUUUUGCCUCCUGCUGGUCAUGUGCUUUCACACAUCAAGAGAGGACAUUUAACAUUUGAGCCACAGCGUCAUUUGCUCUUGUCUGAUGGGUGAGAUUUUUGCUGGCGUAGUCCAUAUUGUCAUAUGUUCUUGGGGCCCACAGGAUUAUUCUUGGUCAUCUAAGAUGUUACUGACAUCUUAUCACCUUAAGAUGUUGCUGACUUAAUCACCUUCAACUGACUCCUGUUCAUUCUUCGAAAUAAGCAAACACAUGUUGUUUCAGUGAUCCUUUCAGUUGGUGAUUUGCCUGGUGCAUUGCUGUGUGAGGUCAUCUCCCGUCAAAUGACCCACAGGUGUUAACAGUCUGUGAACAAACAGUUUACAGGAGGGACCAACCAUGUGUGGACAUGGGGUGGGUCAUUUCAAAGUGAGGUAGUCAACCUGUACCCUAGACUGGCACAGACAGAAGCCACAAUCCUUUAGAGAGAAAAAAAUUACAAAGUAUAAAUAUCCUUUGUUAAGAGAAACAGAGACCAUUUUCAGAGGGCAUAAUAGUAUUAAAAUGUGUUCUCAUUGUUCAGCCCCCACUUAUGAGUGAGAACAUGCAGUGUUUGGUUUUCUGUUCCUGUGUUAGCUUGCUGAGGAUAAUGGCUUCCCGCUUCAUCCCUGUCCCUGCAGAGGACCUGAUCUCAUACCUUUUUAUGGCUGUGUAGUAUUCCAUGAUGUAUAUGUAGUACAUUUUCUUUUUCCAGUCUUAUCAUUGAUGGGCAUAUGGGUUGGUUCCAAGUCUUUACCAUUGAGAAUAGUGCUGCUAUAAACAUACGUAGAGCAGAUGGUGCUCAAAGCAAGAUGAGCUCCAAGCUUGAUGGAGCUCAGAGCAGAUGGAGCUCCAGGUGAGAUGGAGCUCCAAUUAAUAUGAAGCUUGGAGCAGAUGUUGCUCAGAGUGUGAUGGAGCUCCAAGCCUAUGGUCUCAGAGCAAGAUGGAGCUCUGAGCAAAAUGGAGCUCAGAGCAGAUGGUGCUCAGAGCAAGAUGGAGUUUGGAGUGAUUGGAGCUCUGAGAAAGAUGGAGCUUGGAGCAAAUGGAGCUCUGAGUAAAUGGAGCUCUGAGCAAAAUGGAGCUCAGUGUGAUGGGAGCUCUAAGCAAGAUGGAGCUUGGAGCAGAUGGAGCUUCAAGCAGAUGGUGCUCAGAGCAAGAUGGAGCUUGGAGUGAUUGGAUCUCUGAACCAGAUGGAGCUCGGAUCAGAUAGACCUCUGAGCAAGAAGGAGCUCCAAACAAAAUGGAACUUGGAGCAGAAGUUGCUGGUGUAAGAUGGAGCUCAGAGCAGAUGGUGCUCAGAGCAAGAGGGAGCUCAGAGUGAUUGGCAUUCUGAACAUUGCUCUGAGCGAUUGGAGCUCUUAGCAAGAUGCAGCUCAGAGCAGAUAGAGCUCUGAGCAAAAAAGGAGCUCUAAGCAAGAUGGAGUUUGGAGGAGAUGUUGCUUGGUUUUAGUUGGAGCUCAGAGCAAAAUGGAGCCCACAGUGAUUACAGCUCCAAGCAAGGUGGAGCUCAGAGCACAUGUAGCUCAGAGUAAGAUGAGCUCUGACCACAUGGUGCUCAGAGCAAAAUGGAGCUAGAAGUGAUUGGAGCUCCCAGCAAGAUGGGGCUCAAAGUAGAUGGAUCUCUGACUAGAUGGAGCUCUGAGUAAGAUGAAUGUCUAUGCAGAUGUUGCUCACAGCAAGACAGUGCUUGGAGCGAUUGGCACUUCGAGCAAGAUGGAGCUUGGAGCAGAUAGAGCUUGGAGCAAGAAGGAGCUCCAAGCACGAUGGAGCUUGCAGCAGGUGCUUCUCAGUGUAAGAUGGAGCUCAGAGAAGAUGAUGUUCAGAGCAAGAUUGAGCUCAGGGUGAUUGGCACUCCAAAUAUUGCUCUGAGCCCAUUGGAGCUCUGAGCAAGAAGGUGGGAAGUGAGCAAGAAGGUGAAGAAGUGAUACAAUCCCACAGAACAUUACAAGUUUAGCAGAAGCUAUUAUUAAAUGUAAAGAGAAGAAUGCCCCAGAAUUCUAUGUGGAUUGUCAGGGGACAAUACUCAUUUCUGUAAUCAGGCAUACUUUCUUUGAAAAAGUUUAUCAUAUCAAACCUCACAAGGACAACCAGAACUCUGUGAUAUCCACUCUACAAACCUCAGACCCCUAUAAUGUAGUAAAGAUGACAGCCAAGAUAGAAAGACAGAAACACACUGCUUGAUGACCAGUCUUUGGAAGUUGAGACGGCAAAUAUGGAUUUACUCAGAUUAUUUUCCUGUUAGCACCUCCAGAUGUAAUUUUGACGGUACUUUGAAUUGGGCUGUGACACAGUGGGGAAACAUAAACUGCUGACACUGGACUUCAGCAGUACAGUAACAGCCAUGUGCAAGGCCAUUGAAAAUGACUGGUGGUUACAUUGCCACGUGUUUUUCUGCAUGGCAUCAUUAUCUUAACUAUGGACUUUAUAUGUUUUCACAGCAAGAUGUUUCUAGUAUUUAGAAAUGGACCUUAUGCAUCGUAUACUUCAUAAGAGCUUGGAAAGCUCUCACCCAGGUAUUACCAAAUGCCAGACAUCUCUCUGUGUAGGCCAUUUUCUGCCACAGCCAGAAUUCAUUCUGGGUGCCAUGCUGUUCUUGGCUGCUAAGGAAGUGAUGUGGGAGAGCCAGGUGUCUCUCGCUGUCUGUAAGUCUAUGGGAAACAGAACACUGAAAGGCACUAAGUUUAUUGCCACGUUUAGAGGAACUUGUCAAGGCAACACAAGAGUGUUGUAGUCCUAUGUGGCCAACAGUAACCUGAGUUUUUACAGCAGUUAUUGCAUAAUGAUCACAGUCACAUUCAAGUUCACUUUCUAAAUCUUAGAUUCUACAAAAACUCUGUCUGAUAAUGUCCUAUAGACCUUUCGGUAGCUAAAAUCAAUGAGUUUGAAAAAUAAUUUGAAUUUGGCUUGCUCACGUUUUCAGCAGAAUGCACUUGUGAGUCCUGCUCUGUCACUGUAUUUUACAUGUGUGGCUGUCCCUCUUGCUGUGUUGGAAGUCAAAGUUCCAGAAUGUUAACUUCUACAAAUACCUAUGUAUAGAGCGAAGAGAAAACUCUUCAAGUCAAAAGAGUUUAUGUUGUUUCAGGGCAGCUCUCUAGCCUUGGAUUUGAAACUAUAAUAUUUGUUACACAGAGAGAAGAUGGUUCUUUUUUGUAUUUUAUUUUUAAUUUUUGUGGGUACAUAGUAUUUAUGGAGUACAUGAGAUGUUUUGAUACGGGCAUGCAAUGUGGAAAAAAAGCACAUCAUAGAGAAUGGGGUAUCCCCUCAGUGAUUCUUUGAGUUACAAACAUUCCAAUUACACUCUUUAUGUUAUUUUCAAAUAUAUGAUUAAGUUAUUAUUAACUGUAGUCACCCAGGUUUGCUAUCAAAUAGUAGGUUCUUAUUAUAUAUUAUUUCUUUUUUGUUUUUUGUAUCCAUUAACAAUUCCUGCCUCCCCCUCACUCUCUCACUACCCUUCCCAGCCUCUGGUAAUCAUCCUUCUACUAUGUCCAUGAAUUUGUUUUUUUUUUUUUUGAUCCCGGAAAUAAGUGAGAACAUGUGAUGUUUGUAUUUCUGUGCCUGGCUUAUUUUUCUUGACAUAAUAAUCUUCAGUUCCAUCCAUGUUGUUGCAAAUGACAGGCUUUCAUUUAUAUGGCUGAAUAGUACUCCACUGUGUAUAUGUACCACAUUUUCUUCCUUCAUCUGUUGAUGGACACUUAGGUUGCUUUCAAAUAUUAGUAAUUGUAAACAGUGCUGCAGCAAACCUAGGUGUGCAGAAAUCUCUUUGAUAUACUCAUUUCCUUUCUUUUGGGUAUAUACCAAGCAGUGGGAUUUUUGGAUCAUAUGGUGGUAUAUCUGUUUUUUUCAGGAAACUCCAAACUGUCCAAGGAGAUAGUUCUGUUGUGAUCACUUCAUUGAGAAAUUUAACUUAUGAGCAGUUGAAAGGAAUGCAAGUUGCUGGAAAAUCAGAAUGAAGAGUGCAAAAUGACCAAGCUACGAUGUAUUGUCAUUAUUCACUCUGAUGUGAAAAAGGCAGUGAAUUUAAUAGAAAAUAACUUUGCAGAGUAAAAUCUCAGGUGUGUUUUUUUAGUGCCACAGUCUUGGAUGAUGGGUUCCCAGAAGCUCUCAACAUCUCUUCUUAAUUGGAGAAAGUGUUAAGCCCCAAAGUAGCUGGAGCAGUACAUCUUCAGUUUUUGACAAGAAAGCAGGAACUUGAUUACUUUGAGUGCUAUUCAUUAGUUUCUGCUUUCAUUGAGAAUGCAACAAAAGCCAACUAGCCUGCUGCUAACUCCUUGCUGGACAUCUUCUGCCACUGUCACAGGAACUGUGAUCUCACUGGACAAUUAACUAGGGAGGCUUUAACCUUGAAUGACGGCUGCACAAAUGAUCUUCAAAGCAUUUUAGCCACCAGAGGAAUUCUCUUCAAAUACCCAAAGUCCAUCAGUAUCCUGAAUCAUGCUGGAUUUUGAAUAAUUCUUAACGAGCCAUGUAAAGGGGGCUCUCUGGCCUUGAAAUAGUGAUGUUUUUUGUACAGAGAGGAGAAUGCAGAAUGGUCAGACUACCAUGCACUCUUAAAUUUGAUUUCAAGAAAUUACAGGAAAACUUUCCAAA